UACCUCUGCUUUUCGAUCGUGCCGCCGCCGCAUACGCAGACGCGCCAAGAACCCCCGCCGCGCCGUCUGAGAUUCAGAACUGCUCUGCCUCUGCCCAUAGAAGAGGAUGAAGGGGACAAAGAGAUCAGAGACUUAUUCAUCAAGGCCCGUGUCAUCUGAUUUAGGACGGCACCAAGCAUGGUGGAUGGAAGAAAGAAGAAGAUGCAACGAGAUGCAAUCAUGGUCGAUGGAACGAAAAAGAAGAUACAACGAUCUGUGUGUAUUAGCGGAAGAAGCUUGCUGGUUGGCAUGUCAGGACCCAAUCUUGUACCAUGAGCUGAUGGAAUGUUUUCAAAACAUUAUAUCAAAGAAAGAUAGGUACGGGAAUGGAGAGGAUGGUUCCAAAAAUUCCAUCAAUCAAGAUGCACAGACAAGUGAAGGAACUGCAGCUGUAGUGGGUGAUCCUAUUCAACUUUCCACCGAAGGUGCACUAAGCAAAACACAAAAGGUCCACUUCAAGAGAACAGCCCCAAGCCGCUGCAGUCUAUGCCACGAACCAGGUCAUAACAUUCGCAAGUGCAAACAAAAUCCUAAGAACCAGUGAGAUAACUGCACCUUCAUGCAUUGAUGGCGGAAACCAAAUUACAUCAGAUUUCCAUACGAGACUGAUGGUGGAAGAAAACCAGAAUUACACUUAGACUUGUGCUCCGGUGCUUUCUGAAAGUUUGAUUUGCACAACUUUCAAAGCAAGAUCAAAGGCUGUGAUUAGGAGGAGUGCGUCGUGGGAUGUGGGCAGUUGCACCCUGCGGUGAUCACAGCCAUCCAGCUGCUUUGGGAAGCGUGCAAAAAAAGUCUUGGAAAGCACAGGAGCACUCCCUUUUCGUUUAUUUUCAGUUGCCUACAUCAUGUUCCUUAUAUUUCAGAUUUUCUUGUGUGUGUGCUCUCGCCAAUUCAGAAACCAUUUCUGCUUCCAGAAUUUCAUGUGUACGUGAUGUGGCAGAAC